GGGCACUCUAAGGAGACUGCCGGUGUUAAACCGGAGGAAGGCGGGGAUGACGUCAAGUCCUCAUGGCCCUUAUGUCCAGGGCUACACACGUGCUACAAUGGCCGGUACAAAGGGUAGCAAGACCGCGAGGUGGAGCCAACCCCAAAAAGCCGGUCUCAGUUCGGAUUGGAGUCUGCAACUCGACUCCAUGAAGUUGGAAUCGCUAGUAAUCGUGGAUCAGCAUGCCACGGUGAAUACGUUCCCGGGCCUU
rnacentral:rRNA from 1 species